AGUGGGGAAUUUUGGACAAUGGGCGAAAGCCUGAUCCAGCCAUGCCGCGUGAGUGAAGAAGGCCUUCGGGUUGUAAAGCUCUUUUAGUCGGAAAGAAAGAGUCGCAAUGAAUAAUUGUGAUUUAUGACGGUACCGACAGAAAAAGCACCGGCUAACUACGUGCCAGCAGCCGCGGUAAUACGUAGGGUGCGAGCGUUAAUCGGAAUUACUGGGCGUAAAGGGUGCGCAGGCGGUUUUGCAAGUCAGAUGUGAAAGCCCCGGGCUUAACCUGGGAAUUGCGUUUGAAACUACAAGGCUAGAGUGCAGCAGAGGGGAGUGGAAUUCCAUGUGUAGCAGUGAAAUGCGUAGAGAUGUGGAAGAACACCGAUGGCGAAGGCAGCUCCCUGGGUUGACACUGACGCUCAUGCACGAAAGCGUGGGGAGCAAACAGGAUUAGAUACCCUGGUAGUCCACGCCCUAAACGAUGUCAACUGGUUGUCGGAUCUAAUUAAGGAUUUGGUAACGUAGCUAACGCGUGAAGUUGACCGCCUGGGGAGUACGGUCGCACAGAUUAAAUACUCAUAGGAAUUGACGGGGACCCGCACAAGCGGUGGAUUAUGUGGAUUAAUUCGAUGCAACGCGAAAAACCUUACCUACCCUUGACAUGCUUGGAAUCUAAUGGAGACAUAAGAGUGCCCGAAAGGGAGCCAAGACACAGGUGCUGCAUGGCUGUCGUCAGCUCGUGUCGUGAGAUGUUGGGUUAAGUCCCGCAACGAGCGCAACCCUUGUCACUAAUUGCUAUCAUUUUUAAUGAGCACUUUAGUGAGACUGCCGGUGACAAACCGGAGGAAGGUGGGGAUGACGUCAAGUCCUCAUGGCCCUUAUGGGUAGGGCUUCACACGUAAUACAAUGGCGUGUACAGAGGGUUGCCAACCCGCGAGGGGGAGCCAAUCUCAGAAAGCACGUCGUAGUCCGGAUCGGAGUCUGCAACUCGACUCCGUGAAGUCGGAAUCGCUAGUAAUCGCGGAUCAGCAUGUCGCGGUGAAUACGUUCCCGGGUCUUGUACACACCGCCCGUCACACCAUGGGAGUGGUUUUCACCAGAAGCAGGUAGCUUAACCGCAAGGAGGGCGCUUGCCACGGUGGGGGUCAUGACUGGGGUG
rnacentral:rRNA from 1 species